rnacentral:rRNA from 1 species
UCAAGGCCCUGCCCUUUGUACACACCGCCCGUCGCUUCUACCGAUGAAUGGUCCGGUGAAUCCAGUCGAUUGAAACCAUAGCGUUCGUGUAUGAUAAAUACUUGUUCGCUCAGUGUUUCGAGAAGCUGUAUAAACCUUAUCAUUUA